rnacentral:rRNA from 1 species
GAUGAACGCUGGCGGCGUGCUUAACACAUGCAAGUCGAACGAAGCGCUUGAAACAGAUUCUUCGGAUGAAGUUUCCUGUGACUGAGUGGCGGACGGGUGAGUAACGCGUGGGUAACCUGCCUCAUACAGGGGGAUAACAGUUAGAAAUGGCUGCUAAUACCGCAUAAGCGCACGGCAUCGCAUGAUGCAGUGUGAAAAACUCCGGUGGUAUGAGAUGGACCCGCGUUGGAUUAGCUAGUUGGCAGGGUAACGGCCUACCAAGGCGACGAUCCAUAGCCGGCCUGAGAGGGUGGACGGCCACAUUGGGACUGAGACACGGCCCAGACUCCUACGGGAGGCAGCAGUGGGGAAUAUUGCACAAUGGGGGAAACCCUGAUGCAGCGACGCCGCGUGAGCGAAGAAGUAUUUCGGUAUGUAAAGUUCUAUCAGCAGGGAAGAUAGUGACGGUACCUGACUAAGAAGCUCCGGCUAAAUACGUGCCAGCAGCCGCGGUAA